rnacentral:rRNA from 1 species
CCUUUAGAUGUUCUGGGCUGCACGCGCGCUACAAUGGUCUUCGCAAACGGAUGCAUUCUCGAAGGAGAAUGCCAAUCUUGGAAUCUAUGCCUUGGUCGGGACAGUUGCUUGCAAUUUUUCGACUCGAACCAGGAAUUCCCUGUAAUCGUGAUUCAUCACAUCACGAUGAAUACGUCCCUGCCCUUUGUACACACCGCCCGUCGCUCCUACCGAUCGAAGAGUUAGGUGAAUUGUUUUGAUCGAUAAGAUUUGACUAUGGUCAACUCUCGUUGUGAAAUUCUGUGAAUCUGACUGUUUAGAGGAAGGAAAAGUCGUAACA